rnacentral:rRNA from 1 species
GAUGAACGCUGGCGGCGUGCCUAACACAUGCAAGUCGAACGAAGCAAUUAAAGGAAGUUUUCGGAUGGAAUUUGAUUGACUGAGUGGCGGACGGGUGAGUAACGCGUGGAUAACCUGCCUCACACUGGGGGAUAACAGUUAGAAAUGACUGCUAAUACCGCAUAAGCGCACAGUGCCGCAUGGUACGGUGUGAAAAACUCCGGUGGUGUGAGAUGGAUCCGCGUCUGAUUAGCCAGUUGGCGGGGUAACGGCCCACCAAAGCGACGAUCAGUAGCCGACCUGAGAGGGUGACCGGCCACAUUGGGACUGAGACACGGCCCAAACUCCUACGGGAGGCAGCAGUGGGGAAUAUUGCACAAUGGGCGAAAGCCUGAUGCAGCGACGCCGCGUGAGUGAAGAAGUAUUUCGGUAUGUAAAG